rnacentral:ncRNA from 1 species
AAUCUUGCCUGUUUAAGGUCUAACCAACCAGCAGUAGUGAGUCUUGUGCUUAUAAUAGUAAUGUUAUGAGUAAAGCGUAGACAGCGAGGAAAUAGGGUUAUAAGGCAAUUCAGCCCCGAAAUUUUGUAACAUUUAUUUGGCAGACGUGCUAAUUACCGCGGAAUGCAAUAUUGAAAUAAUCGUAAUGGUGAGAAUAUUUCAACGAUACGGGGUCA